GAGAAAAGAGGAUGCAGAACAGGGUCCUGACUGUGUGGAGGACGAGGUUCUACAGUUAAACCCUUUAAGGCUGGAACAGGCUGUAUGGGGACAGAUUCUGGGCUCAGCUCUCUUUGAUUAGUCCUUCUUGAUUGGGAGUGUCUCCUUCAGGGUCAUAUCACCUCUGGGACACAGACUGACGAACUAAGAGACCUCAUCACACUAGGAACCUCCCUUGCCAGGGAUGCUGAAUGACUCGGGGGUGGCAAAGGCUUCGAGGAGCUUCGGUGCAAAUAUAAUAUCUGCAGUGUCUGCCCCACACAGCCAGUUGUUGAAUGGCAUUGGUGGGCGUGAUUGCUCCCUCCUCUGAAUUCUGCUGCGCCUUUGCCAUGUCUUCUGAGCUGCUGUUCACAUGUGCCGGGAUUGUGCAAAGGCUCUGUGUGCAUGCAUUCCUUGUGUGAUCCCGACUGCCGAGCCGAGGAUCCUGUUCGCUGAGACGAGAGAGCGAAACCAACCCAAGACCAUCAUCGACAUCGAAGUCGCGGCUCGACCCUGCGAAGCCGAGGACCAGACUACAACCACCAGGUCGUAUGCCCUCAUCGAGAGCAUGCUAGGACUUAUGGUUUUUCUAGAGAUAUUAUGGGCUGGCAUUACUUCUAUAUUGCGCUGGCAAUUGUAGUUGUAUCCUUUGUGUGGGCUUGUUUCUGUAUUACUGAUGAGAGUAAAAGCAUUUAUGAAAACGAAACUGAAUUGGCAAUCAUUGAUGAACUGACCCGUGAUCCCGAAUCACAAAUCGGUGCUCGCGACAGGAUUGAACUCAGGACCUUGCACUUGUGAGACAGUCACAGCACCACUGAG
rnacentral:lncRNA from 1 species